UAAGGAAUAUUGGUCAAUGGACGCAAGUCUGGACCAGCCAUGCCGCGUGAAGGAUUAAAGGUCCUCUGGAUUGUAAACUUCUUUUAUCUGGGACGAAAAAACGGCGAUUCUUCGUCACUUGACGGUACCAGAUGAAUAAGCACCGGCUAACUCCGUGCCAGCAGCCGCGGUAAUACGGAGGGUNCAAGCGUUAUCCGGAUUCACUGGGUUUAAAGGGUCGUAGGCGGGCAGGUAAGUCAGUGGUGAAAUCCUGGAGCUUAACUCCAGAACUGCCAUUGAUACUAUCUGUCUUGAAUAUUGUGGAGGUAAGCGGAAUAUGUCAUGUAGCGGUGAAAUGCUUAGAUAUGACAUAGAACACCUAUUGCGAAGGCAGCUUACUACGCAUAUAUUGACGCUGAGGCACGAAAGCGUGGGGAUCAAACAGGAUUAGAUACCCUGGUAGUCCGCGCCCUAAAACCGAUGGAUACUCGACAUACGCGAUACACUGUGUGU
rnacentral:rRNA from 1 species